rnacentral:rRNA from 1 species
GUACGGGGGGGGGCAAGCGUUGUUCGGAAUUACUGGGCGUAAAGGGCGCGUAGGUGCGGUUACGCUAAGUUGAAUGAUGAAACUCUGGGCUUAACCCAGAGCCUGCAUUCAAUACUGGCGGGCUAGAGCUCUGGAGGGGAUAGCGGAAUUCCUGGUGUAGCGGUGAAAUGCGUAGAUAUCAGGAGGAACACCGGUGGCGAAGGCGGCUACCUGGACAGAAACUGACGCUGAGGCGCGAAAGCUAGGGGGAGCAAACAGG